GCCCGGGUGGCGGAAUAGGCAGACGCACGGGACUUAAAAUCCCGCGAGGUUGAUCCCUCGUACCGGUUCGAUUCCGGUCUCGGGCACCA
rnacentral:tRNA from 1 species